rnacentral:rRNA from 1 species
GCGGAAUAUUGGUCAAUGGGCGGGAGCCUGACCCAGCCAAGUCGCGUGAGGGAAGACGGUCCUACGGAUUGUAAACCUCUUUUGCCGGGGAGCAACGGGCGCCACGUGUGGUGCUGUGAGCGUACCCGGAGAAAAAGCAUCGGCUAACUCCGUGCCAGCAGCCGCGGUAAUACGGAGGAUGCGAGCGUUAUCCGGAUUUAUUGGGUUUAAAGGGUGCGUAGGCGGCGCCCCAAGUCAGCGGUAAAAAUGCGGUGCUCAACGCCGUACAGCCGUUGAAACUGGGGGGCUCGAGUGCGCCAGGAGCAUGCGGAAUGCGCAGUGUAGCGGUGAAAUGCAUAGAUAUUGCGCAGAACUCCGAUCGCGAAGGCAGCAUGCUAUGGCGGGACUGACGCUGAGGCACGAAAGCGUGGGGAUCGAAC